rnacentral:tRNA from 1 species
GUUUAUUUAAUUUAAACAAAAUAUUAGAUUGUGAUUCUAAUUAUGAGGGUUAAAGUCUCUCAAUAAACC